rnacentral:ncRNA from 1 species
CUACACGAAGCUGGAAUCGCUAGUAAUCGCGAAUCAGAAUGUCGCGGUGAAUACGUUCCCGGGUCUUGUACACACCGCCCGUCACACCAUGGGAGUCGGAAAUGCCCGAAGCCAGUGACCCAACCGUCAGGAGGGAGCUGUCGAAGGUGGAGCCGGUAACUGGGGUGAAGUCGUAACAAGGUAGCCGUAUCGGAAGGUGCGGCUGGAUCACCUCCUUU